rnacentral:rRNA from 1 species
UACGUAGGGUGCAAGCGUUGUCCGGAAUUAUUGGGCGUAAAGAGCUCGUAGGCGGUCUGUUGCGUCGGCUGUGAAAACCCGGGGCUCAACUCCGGGCCUGCAGCCGAUACGGGCAGACUAGAGUUCGGCAGGGGAGACUGGAAUUCCUGGUGUAGCGGUGAAAUGCGCAGAUAUCAGGAGGAACACCGGUGGCGAAGGCGGGUUGCUGGGCCGACACUGACGCUGAAGCGCGAAAGCCAGGGGAGCGAACGGG